UGACACCUCCACUGUGGGGCUCUGUGAAGGAAUACAAAAAUGAAGGUGCCUUGGCUAGUUGGCUUCAAAACAGCGUCCUCUGUUAGUAAUCUGUGUGUAUAUAUAUAUACAUCGUUGGGCGGAGCUCGAGACAACGAGGUACACUGUUUCUCAACAAGUGUUGUUGAGAAAGAGAGGAACAUUGACGGCGGUGGGCACGCACGCACGCUAUUGCAUACAUUGCUAUUUUUCCUAAUGGCAACGGAGGAAAAAAGGAAAUCGAUGCCGCAGGCUGUAUCAGCACUCGACUCGUUGCCGACACCUCAGUGCUACAAUAAAAACAAUAAUAAUAACAACAACAAUAACAAUCGAGGCAGCGAGGUAAGCGAGCAUACGACCACCUCGAGCGCUACCGAAUCAAGUGGACCGGAAACGCACAGCUUCGAGAACGGUUGUGGAGUCAAUCCAACAGUGGGAAAUAACGGGAAAUGGGUCCGUUUGAACGUCGGCGGUACCGUAUUCCUCACAACGCGGCAUACCCUACUCAAAGAACAGACUUCCUUUCUCUAUCGGCUCUGUCAACAAAAGGACUUGCAUUCGGACACGGAUGAGACAGGGGCCUAUGUGAUAGACAGAGACCCCACCUACUUUGGCCCCAUCCUCAACUACCUGCGACACGGCAAACUAGUCUACAACAAGGAGUUGGCUGAAGAAGGUGUGUUGGAGGAGGCUGAGUUCUACAACAUCACUCCUCUGAUCAAACUGAUCAAGGAGAGGAUCCUGGAGCGGGACUGUAAAGUCACACAGGUGCCUCCUAAACAUGUGUACCGGGUGUUGCAGUGCCAGGAGGAGGAGCUGACUCAGAUGGUUUCCACCAUGUCGGACGGCUGGAAGUUUGAGCAGAUGGUGAACAUUGGUUCGUCAUACAGCUAUGGGACAGAGGACCAGGCAGAGUUUCUUUGUGUGGUGUCCAAGGAGCUACACACACCUGGCUCAGGCCUGGGCACCAAACAGAGCCGCAAGACCAAGGGAAGGCUUCAGAGGUGCAGGAUGAGGAGGAGGAGGGAGGAGAGAGAAAUACCACCCUGAAUGAGUGCAUAAAGGAAUGACAGUCUUGUGUCAAUGUUCCAAGGACGUGAAUGGCUUUUUCACAUGCAUGGAUCCCGGAUGUACUAGAGAGAAAUGUAUUUUUUUAGCUUGACAUUCCAUUAUGUGUUUGUUUAUAUAUGUUGUAUUGUUGCUUUGGGGAAAAAAACUACCAAUAAAUGCUCAAACAUUA